rnacentral:rRNA from 1 species
AUUGAACGCUGGCGGCAGGCCUAACACAUGCAAGUCGAGCGAGCGGCGGACGGGUGAGUAAUGUAUGGGGACUUCCCGAUAGAGGGGGAUAACUACUGGGAACCGUAGCUAAUACCGCAUACUCUCGGCUAACCCAUGUGGGAUUAGCUAGUAGGUGAGGUAAUGGCUCACCUAGGCGACGAUCCCUAGCUGGUCUGAGAGGAUGAUCAGCAACACUGGAACUGAGACACGGCCCAGACUCCGACGGAGGCAGCAGUGGGGAAUAUUGCGCAAUGGGCGCAAGCCUGAUACAGCAAGGCCGCGUGUGUGAUGAAGGCCCUAGGGUUGUAAAGUACUGUCAGUCGGGAGGCGGUACCGACAGAAGAAGCACCGGCUAACUCCGUGCCAGCAGCCGCGGUAAUAC